ensembl:rRNA 5S_rRNA 5S ribosomal RNA
UUUUAUAUGCAGAAGUCUUGUUUAUCCGGUUAGUAGUGGGAUGGGAGACCUCCUGGGAAUACCGGGUGCUGUAGGGU